rnacentral:rRNA from 1 species
GACGAACGCUGGCGGCGUGCCUAAUACAUGCAAGUUGAGCGAUGAAGAUUGGUGCUUGCACCAAUUUGAAGAGCAGCGAACGGGUGAGUAACGCGUGGGGAAUCUGCCUUUGAGCGGGGGACAACAUUGGGAAACGAAUGCUAAUACCGCAUAACAACUUUAAACAUAAGUUUUAAGUUUGAAAGAUGCAAUUGCAUCACUCAAAGAUGAUCCCGCGUUGUAUUAGCUAGUUGGUGAGGUAAAGGCUCACCAAGGCGAUGAUACAUAGCCGACCUGAGAGGGUGGUCGGCCACAUUGGGACUGAGACACGGCCCAAACUCCUACGGGAGGGAGCAGUAGGGAAUCUUCGGCAAUGGACGAAAGUCUGACCGAGCAACGCCGCGUGAGUGAGGAAGGUUUUCGGAUCGUAAAACUCUGUUGGUAGGGAAGAACGUUGGUGAGAGUGGAAAGCUCAUCAAGUGACGGUAACUACCCAGAAAGGGACGGCUAACUACGUG